rnacentral:lncRNA from 10 species
UGCAUAUCCAAAGCUGAUGUUUGCAAUUUUGAAUAAGAAACACAAAGGAAACAAUGCCAUUUCCAUUAAAUGAGAUGGAAUACAUAAAACACUCUUUGAUUGUUAACUGAUUGCCUUUUGUAAGUAGUGACCAUCCACAGCAAUAAAGAAGUCUUAUUUCUCUGUGAGUAUAUUGACAAAUAGCCACAUCUAGGUGACACAAACUAAGUAUCUGCAACUGCUAAAAACCACUGGAGAUAAUUAGUGGCUCUGCACCUUUAGUAAACAAACCAUCUCUGACCAUCUCAAUCUGUUUCGGAAAAUGCAUUAAUUUUGCUAUUUUCAACUCUUUAAAAAUAUUUUAUGAUGAUCGGCAAUCCGAGGAUGGGCUUUCCUUCUUAUCUAUGUUUGCUCAUAUGGCAAAUGACCAGUCCAGGAAUUUUUGCUGGUUUUGUUUCAUUUCUGAUAAUCAUUUCCUGAGAAGAUGGCUGACACUUUUGUCCUAUUUCCCUUAAAACAGUGGAAAAAUUCAAAAUAAUGCUCUCUCCCAGCUCUUUCCCUGUUCCUUCGGUGAAAUAACCCUGCAUUGUACCUACUUCCCAGAUUUACACUUCAUCAUUAAGGAAAAAAUUUAGUACUUUCUUUUAGCCUAAGUUGGGUGAAUCAUGUAGCCUCUCUGAACUUCUGUAGCAGUAUUUGUAAAUUGGAGAUCACAACAACAAUAACAAUAAUAACACCUCACUGGCAUAUUUUGAUGGUUACCGACAAAAAUUCUUUGCUUGGUCAGAUUCUAGUCAGGCUUCUGCACCUUUACCUAGGCCCAUCUGUACUUCCUCAUAAAAUCCAGUUUUAGCAAAAAAACCCUUCUAAGCCAGCUUAGCAAGAACCCCUCACCUUCAAUUUCUGAUCACCCUGAUAACUGAUCCAGUUCCUCAUCCUCCACCGUCCCUUAGGUGAUGUCUGAUCUCCCUGGCCUGUCUUCAGCAAAAGUCCUGUUAGGUUGGUUUAGCCAGAAUCCCCCUUACCUCUGAUGCUUCCUUGUAGUAAUUUUCCAUUCACUGACCCCCUCCCUGCACCUUGGCUAUAAAUUCUCACUUACCCAUGCUGUAUUCAGAGUUGAGCCCAAUCUCUCUCCCCUACCGCAAGACCCCAUUCAAGUGGUCCCUAUACCUAUUGCUAUGGUCCUGAAUAAACCUUUCCUUACCAUGCUUUAACAAGUACCAUUGAAUGUUUUUUAUUUAACAUUAUAUAAGCUAAUAUUGUGAAUUUUCUGUCACAGAAUAUGAACUAAAAACAGAGUCGUUGUUAAUGCUAAAUGGACAUUUAUCAAAUGCUGAUUAAGAUGGCUUAAGAACAAGAAGAAAAAUGAUGAAUGCCUCAUGAAGAAAGAUUGAUUUUUUUCUUCCUAUACUCCUGUUUCCUGUUCAAUUGAUGCCUUUGAAUUUAAAUUUUUUGCUUAGUCAUCCUAUCUAUCAAGUUAGAUGAAUGAAAUCAAUACUCCUACAGCGAAAAUUAGCUCACUAAUAUUUACAUUUAUUUUCUUCCUUUCUUUUCCUACUGCAAUCUGUUACCAUACUACAUAUCUUUCAAAUGACUCUACAAUGCUCUCUGCUUAACAAUGAAUCAAUGGAAUUUUAAAUUAUUUCCUUUGCACAGUUGAAAUCUCUUAUUAAUGGCAAUGCUGUAGGACAAAGAGAAAAACGAAUAUAAGAAGCUUUGAAGAGGAGUGAUAGAGACAAUAUUAGUGGCUUAUUGAAAAGAAAUUAGAACAGACAGACUAGACUUUUAACAAAUGAUUGUAUGCAAUGACUAUGUGAUUGAACUUUUUUAAAGGUGAUGCUACUGUUUCCAGAAUAAAUUCUUAUGGUAGUAAUUUAUUUUCCUGACAU